rnacentral:rRNA from 1 species
UGGGGAAUAUUGGGCAAUGGGCGCAAGCCUGACCCAGCAACGCCGCGUGAAGGAAGAAGGCCCUCGGGUUGUAAACUUCUUUUAUCAGGGACGAAGAAGUGACGGUACCUGAUGAAUAAGCCACGGCUAACUACGUGCCAGCAGCCGCGGUAAUACGUAGGUGGCAAGCGUUAUCCGGAUUUACUGGGUGUAAAGGGCGUGUAGGCGGGGAAGCAAGUCAGAUGUGAAAUUCCAGGGCUCAACCCUGGAACUGCAUUUGAAACUGUUUUUCUUGAGUGAUGGAGAGGCAGGCGGAAUUCCGUG